rnacentral:rRNA from 1 species
CCUACGGGAGGCAGCAGUGGGGAAUAUUGCACAAUGGGCGCAAGCCUGAUGCAGCGACGCCGCGUGCGGGAUGACGGCCUUCGGGUUGUAAACCGCUUUUGACUGGGAGCAAGCCCUUCGGGGUGAGUGUACCUUUCGAAUAAGCACCGGCUAACUACGUGCCAGCAGCCGCGGUAAUACGUAGGGUGCAAGCGUUAUCCGGAAUUAUUGGGCGUAAAGGGCUCGUAGGCGGUUCGUCGCGUCCGGUGUGAAAGUCCAUCGCUUAACGGUGGAUCCGCGCCGGGUACGGGCGGGCUUGAGUGCGGUAGGGGAGACUGGAAUUCCCGGUGUAACGGUGGAAUGUGUAGAUAUCGGGAAGAACACCAAUGGCGAAGGCAGGUCUCUGGGCCGUCACUGACGCUGAGGAGCGAAAGCGUGGGGAGCGAACAGGAUUAGAUACCCUGGUAGUCCACGCCGUAAACGGUGGAUGCUGGAUGUGGGGCCCGUUCCACGGGUUCCGUGUCGGAGCUAACGCGUUAAGCAUCCCGCCUGGGGAGUACGGCCGCAAGGCUAAAACUCAAAGAAAUUGACGGGGGCCCGCACAAGCGGCGGAGCAUGCGGAUUAAUUCGAUGCAACGCGAAGAACCUUACCUGGGCUUGACAUGUUCCCGACGGUCGUAGAGAUACGGCUUCCCUUCGGGGCGGGUUCACAGGUGGUGCAUGGUCGUCGUCAGCUCGUGUCGUGAGAUGUUGGGUUAAGUCCCGCAACGAGCGCAACCCUCGCCCCGUGUUGCCAGCGGAUUAUGCCGGGAACUCACGGGGGACCGCCGGGGUUAACUCGGAGGAAGGUGGGGAUGACGUCAGAUCAUCAUGCCCCUUACGUCCAGGGCUUCACGCAUGCUACAAUGGCCGGUACAACGGGAUGCGACACCGCGAGGUGGAGCGGAUCCCUUAAAACCGGUCUCAGUUCGGAUUGGAGUCUGCAACCCGACUCCAUGAAGGCGGAGUCGCUAGUAAUCGCGGAUCAGCAACGCCGCGGUGAAUGCGUUCCCGGGCCUUGUACACACCGCCCGUCAAGUCAUGAAAGUGGGCAGCACCCGAAGCCGGUGGCCUAACCCCUUGUGGGAUGGAGCCGUCUAAGGUGAGGCUCGUGAUUGGGACUAAGUCGUAACAAGGUAGCCGUACCGGAAGGUGCGGCUG